UUAGGCACCAACAUUUCUCGUGGUAGACAUUUACUCGGGUCUGUGAUGGACGAUUUAACAACGUUCUAUGGAUCUUCACAAACCUUGCCACGGACACUGGUGUCUUUGUACGGACAAUUUGCCGAUCCCUGCUUUCCAGCUGCUGAACUGCAACUCCCAUUAUUUCCAUCCAGGGACAAGCACAUCCAGCCAGAAGGUUCUGAUUCAGGGUGUCAUGGAAAAAUAUUUUCAUUAGAAAUGCCACGUCGCAAUAGACGUAGAAGGCUGAUUAGUGUGAUCUAACCAGGGAAAAUGUGCAAGCAUUUCCUGAAAUUCAGUUGACCCUUCAAAAUCUUCCAGCGCAAGCAAAGCGCAUGACGUCGGACGCAUACGUCUAGACAAGAAACGGAUGGGGGAAUCAUUUCAAGUUACAUUAUGUAUUGUAAUAGCUGUUAAGUGUUAAGAAUUAAGUGUUAAGAAUUAAGUGUUAAGUUUUAAGUGUUAAGUUAUCAAUAAAAAAACGUAAAUACGUUU